rnacentral:rRNA from 1 species
CUUUGCAAUGUGCGAAAGCACGACAAGGUUAAUCCGAGUGGUUUCUGCUAAAGAAACCUUUUGUCAGUCCUAGAAACACUGAUGAAUAAGGGGUGGGCAAGUUCUGGUGUCAGCCGCCGCGGUAAAACCAGCACCUCAAGUGGUCAGGAUGAUUAUUGGGCCUAAAAGCAUCCGUAGCCGGCUCUGUAAGUUUUCGGUUAAAUCUGUACGCUCAACGUACAGGCUGCCGGGAAUACUGCAGAGCUAGGGAGUGGGAGAGGUAGACGGUACUCGGUAGGAGGGGUAAAAUCCUUUGAUCUAUUGAUGACCACCUGUGGCGAAGGCGGUCUACCAGAACACGUCCGACGGUGAGGGAUGAAAGCUGGGGGAGCAAACCGGG